rnacentral:sRNA from 1 species
GGCUUCCAGGGUUGGCACGGUGGCUGCAACAGCUAGCUCGACAAUCUACAAAAAGCGCCCGCCUCAACGACGAGACGGCACUUUCCCGAUCGAACGGGACUUGGACAAAGGCGUCCUGCUGGCAACAGCGGGACGCC